AGGAAAGCAGGGGAUCGCAAGACCUUGCGCUUUUGGAGCGGCCGAUGUCUGAUUAGCUAGUUGGUGAGGUAAAGGCUUACCAAGGCUUCGAUCAGUAGCUGGUCUGAGAGGACGACCAGCCACACUGGGACUGAGACACGGCCCAGACUCCUACGGGAGGCAGCAGUGGGGAAUUUUGGACAAUGGGGGAAACCCUGAUCCAGCCAUGCCGCGUGAGUGAAGAAGGCCUUCGGGUUGUAAAGCUCUUUCAGCCGGAACGAAAAGGUUACGGUUAAUACCCGUGACUAAUGACGGUACCGGGAGAAGAAGCACCGGCUAACUACGUGCCAGCAGCCGCGGUAAUACGUAGGGUGCGAGCGUUAAUCGGAAUUACUGGGCGUAAAGCGUGCGCAGGCGGUUUUGUAAGUCAGAUGUGAAAUCCCCGGGCUCAACCUGGGAACUGCGUUUGAAACUACAAGGCU
rnacentral:rRNA from 1 species